GCUUUCUUAGCUUAGUUGGUAGAGCACCCGCUUAGUAACGGGAGGUCCUCGGUUCACUCCGGCAGAAGGCU
rnacentral:tRNA from 1 species